rnacentral:misc_RNA from 1 species
AACACUGUUAACCUGCGGUACCUGCGGAGGGAUCAUUAACAAAAAUUUAUAUUGAAUGUUAAUUAUUCACCCAAUUUUAAUGUGAAGUUUUGGUUAAAAGUAUGAUAACUCUGGUAUGGUCAUUUUUUCAGGUGUGAAAAAGUGAGAAUGCCUGCCAGUGGUUUUUAUCUAAUAAACUACUGUUAUAUUUUGUGUGUGUAUUUGUUAUUCUGAUGAAAGUUACUGAUCAAUUUCACCUGA